rnacentral:snRNA from 1 species
AUACUUACCUGGACGGGGUCAAUGGGUGAUCAAGAAGGCCCAUGGCCUAGAUUAGUGACCUCCAUUGCACUUUGGAGGGGUGCUGGUCUAAGGUCUCCCCAAGAGGGAGAGCCUACGUCAUAAUUUGUGGCAGUGGGGGCCUGCGUUCGCGCGGCCCCUUC